UCCGAGUUGACCCCGGCAGUCUCCCAUGAGUCCCCACCACACCGAAGUGCUGUGCUGGCAACACGCCACAGGGGUUGCGCUCGUUGCGGGACUUAACCCAACAUCUCACGACACGAGCUGACGACAGCCACGCAGCAUCUGUGGUGCACCCUUGAAGGUCACACGUUUCCGUGCGCUUGCAGCACCAUGUCAAGUCCAGGUAAGGUUCUUCGCGUUGCAUCGAAUUAAAGAACAUGCUCCGCUGCUUGUGCGGGCCCCCGUCAAUUCUUUUGAGUUUUAGCCUUGCGGCCGUACUCCCCAGGCGGGAUGCUUAAUGCGUUAGCUUCGGCACAGCAACCGUUGAUCGGGUCGCCACACCUAGUGCCCAACGUUUACAGCGUGGACUAC
rnacentral:misc_RNA from 1 species